ACGGCCGCAAGGUUAAAACUCAAAUGAAUUGACGGGGGCCCGCACAAGCGGUGGAGCAUGUGGUUUAAUUCGAUGCAACGCGAAGAACCUUACCUGGUCUUGACAUCCACGGAAGUUUUCAGAGAUGAGAAUGUGCCUUCGGGAACCGUGAGACAGGUGCUGCAUGGCUGUCGUCAGCUCGUGUUGUGAAAUGUUGGGUUAAGUCCCGCAACGAGCGCAACCCUUAUCCUUUGUUGCCAGCGGUCCGGCCGGGAACUCAAAGGAGACUGCCAGUGAUAAACUGGAGGAAGGUGGGGAUGACGUCAAGUCAUCAUGGCCCUUACGACCAGGGCUACACACGUGCUACAAUGGCGCAUACAAAGAGAAGCGACCUCGCGAGAGCAAGCGGACCUCAUAAAGUGCGUCGUAGUCCGGAUUGGAGUCUGCAACUCGACUCCAUGAAGUCGGAAUCGCUAGUAAUCGUGGAUCAGAAUGCCACGGUGAAUACGUUCCCGGGCCUUGUACACACCGCCCGUCACACCAUGGGAGUGGGUUGCAAAAGAAGUAGGUA
rnacentral:rRNA from 1 species